rnacentral:rRNA from 1 species
UACGAGGGGUGCGAGCGUUGUUCGGAAUUAUUGGGCGUAAAGAGCGUGUAGGCGGUUUGGUAGGUCCGUUGUGAAAACUCGAGGCUCAACCUCGAGACGCCGGCGGAAACCAUCAGGCUAGAGUCCGGAAGAGGAGAGUGGAAUUCCUGGUGUAGCGGUGAAAUGCGUUGAUAUCAGGAGGAACACCCAUGGCGAAGGCAGCUAACUGGGCAUUAUCUGACGCUGAGGCGCGAAAGCGUGGGGAGCAAACAGG